UUGAAGGUUUGUGUCGAAUAUGAAUCGGGUUUUUAGGGUGGUGCUAAAGUGAUAUUCAGAAGUAAACAGUGGCUUUUGAGUCAUGUUCGCUUGCAGUGAUGACGCAAACAUUGACUAGGUUUCCCCCCUUACUGUCCAUUUCUUGUUUUUAAACAAUGAGAGAAGUGCUACACCUGGUGGAGAGACAUAAAUAGUUGCUUUAUGCGUGCUGUACGUUACGGCAUGACACGUCACGAUGUAACGGAGGGUCAGUUUUCUCAACUUUUCUCCAACACUAUAGAGCCAUUACCAUGUCCAUCAACGCUUGAAUAGAAGCGAGGAGAGUGUAGAAGAGUGAGGUGGAAAGGUGAAGAGAAGGAAGACGAGUGAAAAAAAGAGAAAGAUUGGAGCAGAAGAAAAAGUUAAGAGAGUAAGAAGAGCAGACAGAGGAGGUACAAUGGCUCUUUCCAAGAAACGGAAUGAAUGAUAUAUGGACAGUAGCAAGAAAUAAGCUCACUGUUCCUAUGCUUAUUGUGAAGACAAACUUCAACCUCCCCUGCUAGGAGUUCACGGUGAAGCUGGCCAAAGAGAGCAAUCCUGAAGAAGAUACAUUCUUCUGAGAAAUAUACAGAUUAGGCUACCAGGACCCAUGAAUGGCUGUUCAGAUUGGACAGUUCUGUCUUGUCUAGUGUUUCUGUAACAGUUGUUUUCUCUGUCACAAUGUGCCUGUUAGACUAAAUACACAAAACCGGAAUUGUCCCCCUUUUUUUAUUUCAUAGAUAAUAACGGAUAUUUGAAUGAUAUAUUGACCGCCGAACUGGAAAUGUCCCCGGUUUUAAUUUCAGAAAUCUGGUCACCUUAUUGUAAAUGUGCUAAAAUAAUGGAUUGUCUGGUGGACCUCAGAUGUCUUCAAAAGAGAGAGUUACUGGAAUUUGCCAUGAUCAUUUUUAGAUUGCUGAGGUGUUGUUUUAUAACUCAAGUGAAACAAGUCAUUUAGGUUUACACAGGCAGCCCAAUUCUGAUCUUUGUUCCACUAAUUGGUGGAGCUGAUCUGAUUGGUCAAAAGACCAAUUAGUGAAGAAAAUUUCAGAAUAGGGCUGCCUAUGUAAAUGCUGCCAAACAUAUUACAUAUGUACGGUACACUCACAUGGAGUAUUUGAAAACAAGAACAUGAUCAAAUUAAAUGUUUGGUGGUUUAUCUUACAGUGAACGUUGGAGGAGAAGUAGAUUGUGCAACCAUAGACAGUCCAAUGUACUUGAUUGUGUCAGUUUCUGUUGAAAGGGGAAAGGCAGGCAUGCAGAAUCAACUAGUAUUUCUCAUUUUCAAGAUCCUGUUGACAUUUCAACAAUAUUUUAAUACUCGAUUAGCCAUGGUUACCGUGAAUAGGUGUUACAUGUUCUUAUAAUUAUUCAUGUUCUUAUAAUUAACCACCUUUCUAAAUUGCAGUCCAGUAAGUACAGUAUAGUGUAUCAUCAACAUCCAUCUCUACCUUGAGGAGUGUAACAGUCUGUACAGUUUGUUCGGUCUUGAGCACAUCUACAGAUUCCACCAGAUCCGUUCUUCUGAUAUGGCGCACUGACCAUUACCCUGUGGGUGAGAAAUAACAGUAUAGAUUGGUCGAUUUAGAUGAGCCUGUGUCACUAUAUAUAUAUAUAUAUAUAUAUAUAUAUAUCUAUAUGUAUAUAUACACUCAGUUUAUUAGGUACACCCAUCUAGUGCUGGGUCAGACCCCCUUUACCUCCAGAACAGCCUGAAUUGUUCAGGGCAUGGAUUCUACAAGGUGUCAGAAACGUUUGUUACUCAAUUGGUACCAUGGGACCUGACGUGUGCCAGGAAAACAUUCCCCAUACCAGUACACCACCUCCACCAGCCUGUACCGGUUAUACCAGGCAGGACGGAUCCAUGGACCUAUGCUGCUUACGCCAAAUCCUGAUUCUGCCAUCAGCAUGAUCACCAACACUGGACAAUUGAAGAGUGCAAAAACAUUGCCUGGUCCCAUGAAUCCUGGUUCCUGUUGCUUCAUGUGCCCCCUGGAGCCGCUUCUUCUUGUUUCUAGCUGAUAGGAUGGAACCUGGUGUGGUCGUCUGCUGCAGUAGCCCAUCCGUGACCAGGGUUGACGAGUUCUGAGAUGCCGUUCUGUGCCAUUAUUUGUCUGUUUGUGGGCCGCCUGUUAGCUUGCACGAUUCUUGCCAUUCUCCUUUGACCUUCUGUGUGUGAAAAAGCAAGCUUUUUUCACCCACAGAACCGCCGCUGACUCAAUGUUUUUGGUUUGUCGCACCCUUCUCAGUAAACCCUAGACAAUGUGAAAAGCCCAGGGGGGGCAAACAUUUCUGAGAUACUGGAUCCAACACGCCUGGCACUGACAAUCAUGCCACAUGCUUAGGUCACUCGUUUAGUCCUUUCUAACAUUCAAUUGAACAGUGACUGAAUGCUUCGAUGUCUGUCUGCCUGCUUUAUAUAGCAAGCCAAGGCCACGAGACUGACUGUCUAUAGGAGCGAUCCAGUUUUGUGAACAGGUUGGUGUACCUAAUAAACAGGCCGCUGAGUGUAUGACAAACUUUA